GAUGAACGCUGGCGGCGUGCCUAAUACAUGCAAGUCGAGCGAACAGACGAGGAGCUUGCUCCUCUGACGUUAGCGGCGGACGGGUGAGUAACACGUGGAUAACCUACCUAUAAGACUGGGAUAACUUCGGGAAACCGGAGCUAAUACCGGAUAAUAUAUUGAACCGCAUGGUUCAAUAGUGAAAGACGGUUUUGCUGUCACUUAUAGAUGGAUCCGCGCCGCAUUAGCUAGUUGGUAAGGUAACGGCUUACCAAGGCAACGAUGCGUAGCCGACCUGAGAGGGUGAUCGGCCACGCUGGAACUGAGACACGGUCCAGACUCCUACGGGAGGCAGCAGUAGGGAAUCUUCCGCAAUGGGCGAAAGCCUGACGGAGCAACGCCGCGUGAGUGAUGAAGGUCUUCGGAUCGUAAAACUCUGUUAUUAGGGAAGAACAAAUGUGUAAGUAACUAUGCACGUCUUGACGGUACCUAAUCAGAAAGCCACAGCUAACUACGUG
rnacentral:rRNA from 1 species